rnacentral:rRNA from 1 species
UUUGGGGGUAAACGGACAGAACCCGUGAAUCCGGGCAGCAGAAUUCAGAAUUGACGGCGGCCUUGUGGUUGUCGUUAGCUCGAUAUUUCUGUUGCCGUGGACGUUGCGACCCGUUUGGUGUCAGUCUACGAAGCAUAUAUAAGUUCGUUGAUACGUGUUAACUUGUUGACRCGUAUUACGAGUGUGUGUUUUCUGGCUGACUUGCCAGACGGUACAAAUGGUGUCUGUGAAGGCUCUAAGCUUUCACAGUGCCGGUCUGCGACGAAUCUUCGGGCUUCUUUCCGACCCGUCUUGAAACACGGACCAAGGAGUCUAACUUGCGCGCGAGUCGCGGGGUGUCGAGUAGUGGCGGCGGCAACGUCGUUGCUACUCGUUACAAUACGAAACCCGUUCGAUGAAAGGCGUAAUGAAAGUGAAUUCCUUCAAUGGAAUGGGGAAGAUGGCGUUACCGAGUUCACGUUUCGCAACUUGCUUGCGACCGGUCGUCCGCAUUCCCAGGGCGUUCCAACGGCCCGGCAGCGUUGCGGAUCGUCAUUCCUUCGGGGGUGGCGGUCGGGCGUUGUCGAUCCGGGGCGCACCUACAGCGUGCAAGUUGGUACCCGAAAGAUGGUGAACUAUGCCCGGCCAGGAUGAAGUCAGGGGAAACCCUGAUGGAGGUCCGCAGCGAUUCUGACGUGCAAAUCGAUCGUCUGAGCUGGGUAUAGGGGCGAAAGACUAAUCGAACCAUCUAGUAGUGUUUCCCCCCCCAAAAAAG